rnacentral:rRNA from 1 species
GACGAACGCUGGCGGCGUGCCUAACACGUGCAAGUCGAGCGAAUGAAGUUCCUUCGGGAAUGGAUUUAGCGGCGGACGGGUGAGUAACACGAGGGCAACCUGCCUCAUAGAGGGGAAUAGCCUUCCGAAAGGGAGAUUAAUACCGCAUAAGAUUGUAGUACCGCAUGAUACAGCAAUUAAAGGAGCAAUCCGCUAUGAGAUGGGCCCGCGGCGCAUUAGCUAGUUGGUGAGGUAACGGCUCACCAAGGCGACGAUGCGUAGCCGACCUGAGAGGGUGAUCGGCCACAUUGGGACUGAGACACGGCCCAGACUCCUACGGGAGGCAGCAGUGGGGAAUAUUGCACAAUGGGGGAAACCCUGAUGCAGCAACGCCGCGUGAGUGAUGACGGCCUUCGGGUUGUAAAGCUCUGUCUUCAGGGACGAUAAUGACGGUACCUGAGGAGGAAGCCACGGCUAACUACGUGCCAGCCGCCGCAGUAAUAC